GGAAAGAUGCACCUCCAUGUCAAAAAUUAUGCGAUUUUAUCCGAAAUUAUGCGCUCUGUCGUAAAACGUAAAAACUAUUUUAACCUUUACUGCGCAUGCGCAGAAAUUCAAAAGUCUUGACGUGUCAAAGCAUUUUUUUGACAAAUGACAUUAAAUAUUUUUGUAAAUAAAUAUUUACGAACAACCUAUCAAAUUUUUACAUGUAAUAAGAUCUUAGACCCAAAUAAAAAUUAAAAUCAUUAAAAAGGGAGUUGUUAAAAUACUUUUGCAUAUUAUGGAUAUAAAAUGGGGAAUUUAUGGACAAUGUAUUAUUAGGGAAUAGUGGACAAGUCCUCAACUACCUAAAAUGACACCAUUAGAAGAUUCACCAAGAAUUGUGAUUGAAAGAACAUUUGGUAUUUUGAAGAGAUUUCCCAUUUUAACGUGUGUAAUAAGAAGCAAGUUACCAUUUUUUCAAAGAAUAAUAUGAGCUUGUUGAGUUCUACAUAAUAUUGCAUUAGUUAAUAGAGGAAACAUUGAAAUACUGACAAAUAAGUGUGCUGUUGAUAUUGAUAUAGAACAUUUUCAACCAGAAGCAAAUCUACACUAAAAUCAUAAUAAAGAUGCACAGAAAUAAACAAACCAAGACACGUUGAAUGUUACUAGGAGCACUCCCGAAUCAUGAUUUACAAUGUAUAAAUUUUGUAAAUCAUUAUUUGGGAUUUACAAUGUAUUCACAUUGUAAAUUAUGAUUUGGGAGUGCUCCUCGUAACAUUCAACGUGUCUUGGUUUGUAUUAGUGAUGUAACAAAUGUCAUUUUUUUAACAUUCGUGAAUACGAUUGUGAAUAUCUGCUAACAACAUUCGUGAAUGCGGAUGCGAAUGCAAAUGUUGAGUUUUUUAAAUUUGUUUCUAUUUUUGCAGUGGUUUAUUUUAUAAUGAAAAUUAAUUGAUAUUUAGUGAAAAUCAAUGUGAAUCUUAAAGCUUUAUUGCAUAAUAGCAAAUAAUAAAAUAAAGUGAAGACUGAUAAUGUACCUAGAAGUAAGUACCUUCUCUGAAUAAAUAAAGAUGAAAAGUGAAUAGAUUUUGAAAAAUAUGAGAAUAUUCGCGAAUGCGAAUACGAAUAUUUGUUACAUCAUUAGUUUGUUUAUAUCUGGUGCAUCUUUAUUGUGAUUCUAGUAUAGUGCAACUAAAUUUUGUGUGUUUGUUUUAAAAUAUUAUUCAUAAAUUCAAGACAAGCUUACUGUUGUAAUUUUAUUUUUACUGGACUGCAGUUUGUUAAUAAUUUUAUAAAUAAAUAUAUUAUGUAGUAGCUGAUUUUAAGUAUUUUAUUAUUAUUAGCAGUUUAUAAAUACAUAAUUGAUAUUGGUGUUUGAUUUUACGUAUCAUUUAAAAUAUAUUACAUCUCUUUUGAAAAAGUAAUAUUUUGAUUAAAAACUUUACAGAUUCUACUUUAUAAAGGAUUAAAAUUUCAAAAAUAAAUACUUAAACAUUA